GAUGAACGCUGGCGGCGUGCCUAAUACAUGCAAGUCGAGCGAACAGACGAGGAGCUUGCUCCUUUGAUGUUAGCGGCGGACGGGUGAGUAACACGUAGGUAACCUACCUAUAAGACUGGGAUAACUUCGGGAAACCGGAGCUAAUACCGGAUAAUAUUUCGAACCGCAUGGUUCGAUAGUGAAAGAUGGCUUUGCUAUCACUUAUAGAUGGACCUGCGCCGUAUUAGCUAGUUGGUAGGGUAACGGCUUACCAAGGCAACGAUACGUAGCCGACCUGAGAGGCUGAUCGGCCACACGGGAACUGAGACACGGUCCAGACUCCUACGGGAGGCAGCAGUAGGGAAUCGUCCGCAAUGGGCGAAAGCCUGACGGAGCAACGCCGCGUGAGUGAUGAAGGUCUUGGGAUCGUAAAACUCUGUUAUUAGGGAAGAACAAACGUGUAAGUAACUGUGCACGUCUUGACGGUACCUGAUCAGAAAGCCACGGCUAACUACGUG
rnacentral:rRNA from 1 species